rnacentral:rRNA from 1 species
UACGAAGGGGGCUAGCGUUGCUCGGAAUUACUGGGCGUAAAGGGCGCGUAGGCGGCCUUCUAAGUCGAACGUGAAAUCCCCGGGCUCAACCCGGGAACUGCGUCCGAUACUGGAAGGCUUGAAUCCGGGAGAGGGAUGCGGAAUUCCGGGUGUAGCGGUGAAAUGCGUAGAUAUCUGGAGGGACACCGGUGGCGAAGGCGGCAUCCUGGACCGGCAUUGACGCUGAGGCGCGAAAGCCAGGGGGGCAAACGGG